GUUUUAAUAGUUUAUAUAAAAUAUUGGUCUUGUAAACCAAAGAUGAAUAAUUUCUUAGAACU
rnacentral:tRNA from 1 species